NAGAUUGUGUAUGUGCAUGGAGGUGUUUAUUGAGAGAGAGAGAGAGAGAGAGAGAGAUUGUGUAUGUGCAUGGAGGUGUUUAUUGAGAGAGAGAGAGAGAGAGAGAGAUUGUGUAUGUGCAUGGAGGUGUUUAUUGAGAGAGAGAGAGAGAGAGAGAGAUUGUGUAUGUGCAUGGAGGUGUUUAUUUUGUAACUAUUUGGGAUGUCUGGGGAUCAGAAUGUGUAUUGCUGCUUUUGCUGCUAUUGCUGGGUUGGAGGCUGGGGGCAGGACAGCUGAGGAUGAAGAUCAAGAGAAAGGAGGUUGGGGCUGGGGAUGUCGCUCAGGGGUAGAGUGCUUGCCUAGCAGGCAUGAGGCCCUGGGUUUAAUCCUCAGCUCUGCCAAAAAAGAAAAAAAAAAGGAGAGAGAAUGACAGUGAGAGAGAGAGAAGGAGGGAGGGAGGGAGGGAGACAGAAAGAAAGAGAGAAAGAAAGAAAAAGGAGAGAAGGAGGUGAACAGGGCUCUCCCUUGGGCUGGGCAAUAUGAACCUGCUCCCAUGCAAAGAAAAAUGAAAGCACAGAUGGCCUCAGACUACUUGGACCUAGGCCCCACAAAUUUCCCACAGGUUCAAGGAGUACUUUUCCCUGUGCUCUUGUGCUGACAUAUGACACCCCACACAUGCUGGUGUAUCCACUGUCAUGGAUACCACUCACAUGCUGCCCUCUGGACAAUAGUCCUGGGACGUGGGAACUGGAAGGGGCAGAUGGUGAGAGGAAAGAGUGAGGCUGCUGGCUUAGGAAGGGUAGCAUCUCUCUCUGCAUCACACCCAGGAGCUGCCAGGUUCAAAGUGUUGGGGUGCAACUCUAUGCUCUCCUCUCCUCCAAUCUACCCUUAUGUCCUCUAGUUAUAUAAUGAGGAAAUGCCAAAGGGAGGACAGAAUAGGGAUUUGUAAGGCCCACAAAGCCCACAUUGGCCCCCAUCUCAAGCUCUUCUCCCACCCUGAUCAGCAUCCCUGCUCCCUGUCAUCUAAGAUCCAGAGCCAGGCCUCCCACUACCACCAUCCUGGGCUCCUUACUCACCUUUCUAGAACAUGGGUACCUCCUCUUUUAUAGACUGCUGCCUUUGCUGCUGACUUACUGUGUGACUCUGGCCCAUUGUUCAAUCUCUGUGGCCCUGAGGAAAGCUCCCUCCCCACAGGACAUACUACUUUUCUGGCAGGCAAGGACUUCCAACUGAGGCAGUGUACAUGUGGCAGGGAGAGAUAGGAAGCUGGCAGCCAGCAGCUUCUACAUCUAAGGAGAAUGCAUGGUUCCCUCCUUCCCUGUCUGGGAGGUUGAAGGGGAAGAACCAAGGCCUUAGCUUGCCCCUGCCUCCUGCCCCCUUGUAGAUACUGCCUUAACACUCCCCCUACCCUUGGCUGUGGCUUUCACCCAGCCAGGUUUCUCCGCGCUCACUAAUUUAUUUCCAGGAAGGUGUGUGGAAGACAUGAGCCGUGUAUAAUAUUUUUUUUAACAUUUCCAUUGCAGUAUUGACCAUCAUCCUUGGUUGUGUAUCGUGUAACACAAAUAAUGAUAUUAAAAGCAUCAAACAAGCCAGCCUCAGCUCCCUA
rnacentral:lncRNA from 1 species